rnacentral:rRNA from 1 species
AGCGAACGCUGGCGGCAGGCUUAACACAUGCAAGUCGAGCGGGCACUUCGGUGUCAGCGGCAGACGGGUGAGUAACACGUGGGAACGUACCCUUUGGUUCGGAAUAACGCUGGAAACUAGCGCUAAUACCGGAUACGCCCUUUUGGGGAAAGGCUUGCUGCCGAAGGAUCGGCCCGCGUCUGAUUAGCUAGUUGGUGGGGUAAUGGCCUACCAAGGCGACGAUCAGUAGCUGGUCUGAGAGGAUGAUCAGCCACACUGGGACUGAGACACGGCCCAGACUCCUACGGGAGGCAGCAGUGGGGAAUAUUGGACAAUGGGCGCAAGCCUGAUCCAGCCAUGCCGCGUGAGUGAUGAAGGCCUUAGGGUUGUAAAGCUCUUUUGUCCGGGACGAUAAUGACGGUACCGGAAGAAUAAGCCCCGGCUAACUUCGUG